rnacentral:rRNA from 1 species
GACGAACUCUGGCGGCAGGCCUAACACAUGCAAGUCGAACGAGUGGCGGACGGGUGAGGUAUGUCUGGGAAACUGCCCGAUGGAGGGGGAUAACUACUGGAAACGUUAGCUAAUACCGCAUACCAUCGGAUGUGCCCAGAUGGGAUUGGCUAUUAGGUGGGGUAACGGCUCCCCGAGGCGACGAUCCCGAGCUGGUCUGAGAGGAUGACCAGCCACACUGGAAAUGAGACACGGUCCAGACUCCUACGGGAGGCAGCAGGGGGGAAUAUUGAACAAUGGGCGAAAGCCUGAUGCAGCCAUGACGCGUGUAUGAAGAAGGCCUUCGGGUUGUAAAGUACUUUCAGCGAGGAGGCGUUACUCGCAGAAGAAGCACCGGCUAACUCCGUGCCAGCAGCCGCGGUAAUAC